AGCUUUCCUUAUUACUCUAAGAAUGAGAUGAGGGCUUAUCCUGGCCCAGGGGGGGAACUGAACAACAAACUUUAAGAAACGACUACUAAGUCUUCCACCUAAGGAGCUUCUGUCCGGAACUGUAUGUGUGUGUAUUUUGUGACUCCUUACAGCACUCCCCAGAGUUGGUGGGUAUCACCUGCAUCCAAGAAUGUGUGGACAGACUUGGGGUGUUUGUACUGCGUACCUACAGUCACAGAUCUGGAAAGCAAGUUGCUGAUCUCUCUGCUCUAGCCUGUGAACGCAUUUCUAGACCAUGGUUGAAGAGCAUUUGAGGUGAAAUUAACCCAUCCUGGGUCCACGUAGGUUCUGAAAUCACCCUUCCCAAGGAGUUGUGUUCUCUGACUGAACUGUGAUCUCCCCGAGCCCAGCAAGCCUCAUUAUUGCUGUGGUAGCUUUCUCCUUCACCUUUCUCAGUUCUGCAGGGAUUUUGAUCUCCCUGGGAUGACUGUCUGCCCUGUAGAUCCCCUCCCUCCCAGCACCAAGAAGUUCCUGGGUCUCUGCUGUCCCACUUGGAGCUUCCUCAUAGUGCUCCUCCACCUUGCUUCCUUCCCAGUUCUUGGAGCUUGGGAGCUUGUUUCAGCUCCUGUCUUCUAGGGAGUUGAGGAUGUUGUCCUUUUGUCGCCUUGAGCCUUGGUACCCAGCUAGCAAAGCAGGGAAGUGUUGAACUCACUAAUGUUCUGCUUCCCCCGGCCCCUGUUCCUCACGUUUGUCCACAGCAAGGCCGCCACAGAGAGCGGUCUGAGGCUCUGUUCAAGGUCUCAAGGAGAGGCAUUGAAUAGGCCCUACUUUUCUGAAAAGCUGUCUUUGGGGCUUUCUCCUGUAAGGGCCCUCGAGUCUACAAGGUAAGGUGAAAGUUGUUUGUUUUGUCGUUCAGUAUUUAACUACAAGCUUCCUUUUCUGCGCCAGUGUCUUCUUUGUGAGUCCCUCCUUGAGCCCCUGUUUGCUUUGGAAUUUAAAUUAUUGUGUGUUGUCAGAAGUAUUUAAAGAUAGAAGAGUCCUGAAGGAAGCUUAUUAUCAGGUUCUUUUCUUUGGCCUUUUCUCUUCAUUUGUUUCAAGGUACUGUAUAUCGUUGAUGGGAUGCCAAGCGGGCUUGGUUCAGUGGCUAAGCCCCGCACUGUAUUAUGGUGUGAUGUUGAUCUCAGCCUGAUCCCAACACCAGAGCUCUCAGAGACUUGAAUAAAACUGUCAUAAUGGUCACUCCUGGUUCU
rnacentral:lncRNA from 1 species